rnacentral:rRNA from 1 species
GAUGAACGUUGGCGGCGUGCCUAAUACAUGCAAGUCGAGCGAACAGAUAAGGAGCUUGCUCCUUUGACGUUAGCGGCGGACGGGUGAGUAACACGUGGGUAACCUACCUAUAAGACUGGGAUAACUUCGGGAAACCGGAGCUAAUACCGGAUAAUAUUUCGAACCGCGUGGUUCGAUAGUGAAAGAUGGUUUUGCUAUCACUUAUAGAUGGACCCGCGCCGUAUUAGCUAGUUGGUAAGGUAACGGCUUACCAAGGCGACGAUACGUAGCCGACCUGAGAGGGUGAUCGGCCACACUGGAACUGAGACACGGUCCAGACUCCUACGGGAGGCAGCAGUAGGGAAUCUUCCGCAAUGGGCGAAAGCCUGACGGAGCAACGCCGCGUGAGUGAUGAAGGUCUUCGGAUCGUAAAACUCUGUUAUUAGGGAAGAACAUACGUGUAAGUAACUGUGCACGUCUUGACGGUACCUAAUCAGAAAGCCACGGCUAACUACGUG